UCACCUGUCGGUGCAGGUGGGCGGCAGAGCUGGAGAGCCAGUUGGGAAGGCCCCACUCUCUGGAUAAACGGGCUCAAAGUCAGUGUAACACUCCGUAUCUCCCUUCUAGGGAUAAUUUCCUGAUUGCAGUUUAGUGUUUUUUUGGCGCAAAAAAUUGCCGCAUAAACACCAACGCGUAUUGUAAACGAUACUGGAGUAAAACAGAAAGUUCCAUGGCUGUGGUCCAGAUCCAAACACUUCAUUCUUGCCUGAUACAUCGUAACAGUGACUACACUUAAUUAGAUUAAGAAGUGAUCUCACCACCUGCAUGAAGUACAGAACAAAUCAUCAGUCCCAGAGGUCAGAUGUUUCCCAGUAAUGGAAAUGGAUCAGCAACAAGUCACCAUGACAACUGCGUUCACCACGGGAAUGUCAUACAGGAGAAGGAACUUCACCCUAGUGUUAAGCAGAAACCAAAUGAACUGCCAACGAUGAAGCACACGUACCUUUGGGAGACCCACCUAAUUUAUUGAUGAUGUGCAAUGCGUGUGCAGAGUCUGACAAGUAGAACUGACUAGAGUUAACUCAUAGUUCUGUUAAUGAAUAAUAAUUUUCAUUUCUGAUCACACAUAUUGGGUAACUUAGAUAAUCUUUAGUGUAAUUGGGAAAGAUGGUUACUAAUGAAGCAGAUUCUGGACUACCUUUAGUUAAGUAAAUAAAACUAAAAUUUCAGGGGCCUGAGGGAAAACACCUCAGUGAUAGUUGGAACUGCAGUGGGUCCGUUUAAUAUUGUGCAGCCACCCUCUUGUGCUGGGAAACCUCCAGCUCUUCAUACCCUUCAGACUGUUGCAAGGAGACUGCCUCCAUGAAGGUCAUGGCCUUUCCACGUUUUAGGGAGGUGGGGAUUCACUCUACUGGCAGCAAAAUUCUGGCUGCCCUUAAAAUAGGUCUCUUGGCAUUUAAUCAUUCAAAUUGUGCUGGCUUCUGUGGAGCUGAUCACCUCACAUUCCCACAUUUGGGGUACUUUGCUGGCAGCGGGAAUGGGGAGCAGUCCCAUUGUAGCUUCCUGUUACUUUACAGGUUGCCAUGGCUCUGUUCCCACCAUUCGGGUAAAUUUCUGCCCAGAAAGUGGACAGCCUCCUUAACUAUAUGCACUCAGGGUUGACUCAAGUAAUGAAUCACUGAUAUAAAUUAGGCCCAUUCUCAUAUGUUUAAUAAUGCUACAGCAAAUAUCCAACCUCAUUGAGUAAGAACCAUUUUUAAAGAUGGCUAUAUAUUCUAUAAGCUGGUCGAUCAGCUAUUGGCUGACUUAGCUUCUUCCUCUUUGCCAUGGUGCAGUUUAUCCGAGAUGUAUUCUUAGUGCCCAGUCAUUAAUCCUGAAUGAUCCAUCCAUUAUCUUUGAGACACAUAGGAUCUAUUCACAGCUCCAGGGUACCAUCUCUGUAGCUGUCUCCACAACCUUGAAGCUCCACUGGAUGGAGCUGGCUUCACAAGUGUGAAUUAGACGCUGCAGGAAUCAGUGUCCUUUGCUUAGCAAAAGUGGCUUUUCAAAAAGUCCAGUAUCUGAAUAACUGGUGAACUUAUAAUUUUAUAUUUGACAUUGUUCAUCUUCAUGACACCCCUUAAUGUUUUCUAUUGCUUUAAAAACUUUUAAAAACCUGCAGAAAUAAAACAUCACAGAGAUCGCCACUUGAGUUUUGAGUGUUGGUUCAAUGUCAAGGCAUUGUGUGACCUUGGGAAUUAACAUUCUAUAGACAUCUACCCAACCUACCUUUUGUUUUGUCAUUUACAGAAUAUGGUCAUUGCUGGCUAGGCCCCCAUUUAUUGCCUGGUAGUAAUUGCUGUUCAUAAAAAAGAAAGCAAAAUACUGUGAAUGCUGAAAAUCUAAAAUUUUUAAAAAUGCUGCAUUUAUUUAGAGUAGAUUUGUAGAUGUGAACCAUUCAAGCAGUCUUUAUCGUGGAUGGUGUUGAGCUACUUGAGCGUUUUUGAGAUGUAUUUGUCUAGGCACAUGUAAAGCAUUCUAUCAUGCUCCUGACUUUGUGAAUGGUGGACAGGCUUCUGAGAAGUUUGAGGUGAGUUACUCAGUGCAGAAUUCCCAGCUUCUCAGGUAUUUAACAUGUUUAUUUCAGACUUUCAGCAACUGGAGUAUUUUGCUUUUACCCAGUUUCUGACCUGUCCUUGUAGUCACAGUAUUUACACGGCUGAUACAGUUAAGAUUCCGGUCAGUGGUAACUUGCAGAACAUUGAUCAUGGUUGGAUUCUGUCUUGUUGAAGAUGGUCGUUGCCUGGCAGAUGCAUGGUGCAAAUAUUACUUGUUCUAGUAUUAUGGCACUUGAACUCAGAUUGCUUCAGUACAUAAGGAGUCAUAAAUGAUCCUGAACACUCAGCAAUCAUCAGUGAACACCCUCAAUUAAAACCUUAUUGAUCCCUACAUUCAGAAAACAGCUGAAGGUAAACCUAACACAUUAACCUGAGGAAUGCCUGCAGUGAUGACCUCUGACAAAGGUGGCUAACCCCCAACUACCACCGUUUUUAUUUUGUUUGUACUAGGUACAACUCUAACCAGUGGAGUUUUCCCCAAUUCCUAUUGACUCAGUUUGUUUGGGCUCCUUGAUGUCAAGCUCAGUUAAACACUGAUUUGGUCUCAAGGGCAGUUAUUCUUCCACACUUGAUCCAGCUCUUUUGACCACAUUUGGAUUAAUGCAGUAAUGAGGUCAGGAUCUGUGGGCCUUGUGGACCCAAACUAAGUGUUGGUGAACCAAAUUUAAGGAUAAAUCAUAAAUUUUAAAAUUCUGUAUAUACAUUGUAAUGUUUCAUUCUAACUAGUUACAGACCCCAGAGAUUCCCUGCUGCCAAUAUGAAAUAGUACCUCAAGAUAAAUUUCAAACAGUUAUUUUUAAUUGGCAGAUUAAAAAUAUAACCCAGUUAUGAUGAAUGUGAAGCAAUGUUAGUGGUCAUUAAUGUUGAGUCUUGCUUCUUAUGUUUAGAUACCUAUCUGAGACUGGCAUAACCUUCAGCAACACAUUGGCAGAAUAUCAAUAUUUUUGUAUCUGCUGAGCUUUUCCAGCAACUUUCUUAUGGAGACGAAGAUGCUUCCUCAAGAUUCAGAGCGGUGUGCCUUUCCCCAGUCAAGUGAUGCCAUAAACAGUAAGUGCGAACCCUGGGAAACUAGUAUUUGUUACUUAAACUGCAAGAUUGGAUUACAUAUGGCAUCAUCAGAUUGGGUGGAGCUUAGUGCUGUCUUCAGCAUUAACCCUUUCUGAAGCAAGACCUUGCAAUAUAGACAGGAUGUUUUCUAGCAACUAUGCCGGUUUGCUUUAACCAAGCAAUGCAAGUGAGAAAUUCAGAUAUAAUAUUCAACACCUUUUAGGCUGUUAUACAUAUGGAAGAUUGUAUUGAACAGAAAUCUGCUAUUACUGAACAAAGAGACCUCAGAGUGCAGGUUCAUAGUUCGUUGAAAGUGGAGUCACAGGGAAUAGGAUAGUGAAAAAGGCAUUUGGAAUGCUUGUCUUUAUUGGUCAGUACGCUGAGUAUGGGAUUUGGGAAGUCAUAUUGUGGCUGUACAGGACACUGGUUCGGCCACUUUUGGAAUACUACCUGCAAUUCUAGUCUCCCUCCUCCAGGAAGGAUGUUGUGAAACUUGAAAGGGUUCAGAAAAGAUUUACGAGGAUGUUGUCAGGGUUGGAGGGUUUGAGCUAUAGGGAGAGGCUGAUUAGGCAGGGAAGACAGCCCUAGUAGUGUUGGAGGCUGAGGGGUGACCUGAUAGAGAUUUAUAAAAUCAUGAAGGGCAUGGAUAGGGUAAAUAAGCAAGGUCUUUUGCCUGAGGUGGGCGAGUUCAAAACUAGAGGCUGUAGGUUUAAGGUGAGAGGGGAAAGAUAUAAAAGGGAGCUAAGGGGUAACAUUUUCAUGUAGAGUGCAGUGCAUGUAUGGAAUGAGCUGCCAGAGGAAGUGGUAGAGGCUGUUACGAUUACAUUUAAAAAGCAUCUGGAUGGGUAUAUGAAUAGUAAGGGUUUAGAGGGAUAUGGACCAAAUGGGACUGGAUUUAUAUAGGAUAUCUGAUUAGCAUGGACAAGUUGGACCAAAGAGUCUGUUUCCGUGCUGUGUAUCUCUUAGACUCUAUCCCACUUGACAUAAAAGCUCAUUACAGUAUAGUGCGUAGAUCUCAGACAGAAUGGAGCUAUUUCACAGCUGUAAUAUGAUCAAGGGAUUUAAGUGAUGUCAUAAACAGUAAAAAUGAACCCUGGUAUACUUGUAUUUGCCAUUUGAACUGCAAGAUUAGAUUACAUAUUAGAUCACUUUGUAUUUUCUUCAUUUUAUCUAUUUGGAAUUCAUUUUAUGUUCAGGUCAGUUUUAAGCUACUUUUGCUAAUCAGCACUUAUUCUGACUUU